ACCUUCCGAUCUCCAAAAGCUUCCGUAAGACUCCUCUUAAACUCAAAAGAGUAACAGUAGGUCUUAAAUUGACACCUUAACUUCAAACGGCUAUAACUUAUUCAUCCUAACUCCAAACCCUAUAAAAUUUGCACAAAAAUUGUAGCCAAACCCCUAAAAUUUACAAUCCUUGCCUUUGAUUUCUUAAUGGCCUCUUUGAAGUCGCCGAAACCCUUAUCAAGGUCGCGGGCAGCCUCCUAAAAGCCCAUUGGGCAUGGAUUUCGACCAAUGGGGAUGAAGAUCCUUAUUUCUACCUUCAUCCAACCAUGCCUUGGUUUCAUCCCUCCCAAUUAACCUCCUAUUAGUUUAAAUCUUCAUCUUUAGGCCCCUAUCUCCUCUCAAGGCUUCAUACUUAACAUUAAGGUUCUAUAACUUUUAUUUACUAUAAUCAUACUAAAUAAGGAAAAUAAAAUAAAGUUUUUUCAUACCAACUCUUUUUAAUUUAAUCUAUUAUCUACUCUAACAUACAUUUAGAUUUAUUAACAUUUAAUGUGUUCUAACUAAUUUUUACAUGCUA
rnacentral:lncRNA from 1 species